GUCUCUUCCGUCGUCACGCGGUGGUCCUGGAAGUACCAAAACGACGCCGUUUUCACCAACUCCCCCAAUUUCAUAAUUCACAUGAACUGGCUUCUGCCCUUCCAAUUCGAAGCCGUAAAUAUUCGCUUCUUCCAAAUCAACGAACGUCAAUCUCGCUCCGUACGCUAUGAAAUCCGAUUCCUCCUUUCCUUUCUCCACCACUUCUUCG
rnacentral:misc_RNA from 1 species